GCAGAGAGAAAGAGCGAGAACUGUGCUGUGGAAAAGCAGGUGUGAUUCAUGAAUAAACUAUAGUUUGCAACCCUAUGGGAUACUGAUGAAACAAAUAGAAUUUUCACAGACAUGGAUAAUACAAGAACACAAGACACUUUUUCACAGUUAAACCAGGAAAAAAUCCUCAAAAUUAUGAACAUGGUGAAAAAUAAAGAAGUGAGCAUUGAAGGAGCUUUGCAUUUGGCACAGAAAGAGGUGUAUACUGAAAAGGAUUCACAGGAUUUGCUAACUGGCUCACAGUUUAACUUCAUUAUCUACAAAUACAAACAUUAUCGGUGGCAGAAACGAAUUCUGCAGAUUGAUUUCAAUACAAAGACCAUUUUUAACAUUGAAAAAGGAAUUAUUAAGAAACAGUUCCCUUUCUCACAAGUCAAAGCCUGUGAAGAUACUGAAAGGAGGCGCUUCAGUAUUGU
rnacentral:lncRNA from 1 species